rnacentral:misc_RNA from 1 species
AACGCACAUUGCGCCCCUUGGUAUUCCAUGGGGCAUGCCUGUUCGAGCGUCAUUUGUACCCUCAAGCUCUGCUUGGUGUUGGGUGUUUGUCCCGCUGUCUGCGUGGACUCGCCUUAAAGCAAUUGGCAGCCGGCAUACUGGUCCUGGAGCGCAGCACAAUUUGCGCUACCUGCCAUGAAUGUCGGCGUCCACAAGCCUAUAUUUUUGCUCUUGACCUCGGAUCAGGUAGGGAUACCCGCUGAACUUAA